GAAAUUCCAAUCGAACUCGGAGAUAGCUGGUUCUCCCCGAAAUAGCUUUAGGGCUAGCGUUGGCUUAGAUUACCGGAGGUAAAGCACUGAAUGGGCUAGGGGCCGAUAAGGUUACUGAACCCUAUCAAACUCUGAAUGCCGGAUAAUUGAUGGCCAGCAGUCAGUCUACGUGAGAUAAGUCUCGUGGACAAAAGGGAAACAGCCCAGACCCACAGCUAAGGUCCCAAAGAUACGCUAAGUGGAAAACGAUGUGGAGUUGCGAAAACAACCAGGAUGUUGGCUUAGAAGCAGCCACUCAUUAAAAGAGUGCGUAAUAGCUCACUGGUCGAGUGACUCUGCGCGGAAAAUAUAACGGGGCUAAGCGUAACACCGAAGCUUGGGCUGCACAGCAAUGUGCGGGGUAGGGGAGCGUCGAAUAUGGGGUGAAGUCGCAGCGGAAGCAGCGGUGGACUGUAUUCGAGUGAGAAUGCCGGAAUGAGUAGCGAGAAUUAUGUGGGAAUCAUAAUGGCCGAAAAUCUAAGGUUUCCUGGGGAAGGUUCGUCCGCCCAGGGUAAGCCGGGAGCUAAGGCGAGGCCGAAAGGCGUAGUCGAUGCACAUACGGUUGAAAUUCCGUAGCCACCGAACCUUAAGUACACUGACACAUGGAGAUAGCGGGACCCGGGCGUUGGUUGACCCGGGCGUAAGGGACCGAACUUUAGUAGGGAAGUCCGCGAUGCUCUGUGGCGAGAAAAGGUGUAUGGUAUGCUAAGGUGCCCGUACCGCAAACCGACACAGGUAGAUGAGGAGAGAAUCCUAAGGCCAACGGGAGAAGGGUUGUUAAGGAACUCGGCAAAAUGACCCCGUAACUUCGGGAUAAGGGGAGCCUCCUACGGGAGGCCGCAGCGAAUAGGCCCAAGCGACUGUUUACCAAAAACACAGGUCUCUGCUAAAUCGAAAGAUGACGUAUAGGGGCUGACGCCUGCCCGGUGCUGGAAGGUUAAGAGGAGAUGUUAGCCGCAAGGCGAAGCAUUGAAUCGAAGCCCCAGUAAACGGCGGCCGUAACUAUAACGGUCCUAAGGUAGCGAAAUUCCUUGUCAGGUAAGUUCUGACCCGCACGAAUGGCGUAACGACUUGGGCGCUGUCUCAACAGCCCACCCGGCGAAAUUGUUGUACUGGUGAAGAAGCCAGUUACCCGCAACUAGACGGAAAGACCCCAUGGAGCUUUACUGCAGCUUAAUACUGGAAAUCGGUAAAUCAUGUACAGGAUAGGUGGGAGACUUGGAAGCCAGGGCGUCAGCUUUGGUGGAGUCACCCUUGGGAUACCACCCUUGAUUUGCUGGUUUUCUAACCUGCGGCCGUGAAUCCGGUCGGGGGACACUGUUAGGUGGGCAGUUUGACUGGGGCGGUCGCCUCCUAAAAGGUAACGGAGGCGCUCAAAGGUUCGUUCAGCACGGACGGAAACCGUGCAGUGAGUGUAAACGCAUAAACGAGCCUAACUGCGAGACCGACGGGUCGAGCAGUAACGAAAGUUGGAGUUAGUGAUCCGGCGGUAUGCAAGUGGAAGUGCCGUCGCUCAACGGAUAAAAGCUACCCUGGGGAUAACAGGCUGAUCUCCCCCAAG
rnacentral:rRNA from 1 species